AAAAACGAACGUUACGGGGCAGAUAUUCAAAUUCAUUAGUCAUCGAUGCAGGCUCUCAAUUCAGCUUGAGAGCCUGUUCGCAGGCUAGUCUGAAAUGUGUCUUUUCCACUUUCCAAGAAACUGUAUGGAGCCACCUUAAUCGUAGCCUGUGUCCCAGUCCACUUCACCCUUAAUCGCAUCUCGUCGGCUAUCCGCUCAUAUACGACUCGAGCUCAUGGUGUAAUUGAAUAAGAGCGCCUGCCUGUGAAAACCGAGAAUCUCAAGC